rnacentral:lncRNA from 1 species
CUUGAGGUACAGAGUGUUCAUUGGGCGUCUGUGAUCUCGCCCCAUUGGUGGAGGUUCAGAGGUCGACGUUGACCUAUAUAAUUUUGGUGUAGUUGUAGUAGGAUCGAUCGCCCUGAUGUAAAUUAAUUAUUGCACAGCUCUCAUCAAUGGCAUGGCAGGAGAAUGCCGCAAGGCCUUCUUAGUUGUACUAUGUUGUUCUUGACCAAUGAACUUAGCGCCGAUGCCCUACUUGCACAAUGUUUAAGCAUGGCAAAUGAACCGAAGACUUCAUAACUAUCACUGUACUAGUUGUUAUACUACUAGAUGAUGUGUUGUGCUGGGUGAAUGUAAUUAGAUGAGGACUGGUUGUUAAGCCUUCUUCUGUAGACGGUCCUCACCGGAGAACUUUCAGAAUGACGGAUUAUGUUGUAUGUGUGCUAUCCACCCACAGGUGAACUUGAAUCAGGAGAAUCAGAGACUAGCAGAUGAAAACCAACCUACAAAUAGGCCCCUCUUUAGUCCGACAACUAAAUCAACAAAAAAAAAA